UACGAAGGGGGCUAGCGUUGUUCGGAAUUACUGGGCGUAAAGCGCGCGCAGGCGGUUUUUCAAGUCAGUGGUGAAAGCCCGGAGCUCAACUCCGGAACUGCCAUUGAAACUGUAAAACUUGAGGACGAGAGAGGUGAGUGGAAUUCCCAGUGUAGAGGUGAAAUGCGCAGAUAUCAGGAGGAACACCAAUGGCGAAGGCAGCUCGCUGGGACGGUACUGACGCUGAGACGCGAAAGCGUGGGGAGCAAACAGG
rnacentral:rRNA from 1 species